rnacentral:misc_RNA from 1 species
CUUUCUUGGGGAGGUGAAAUUUGUUCUCCUCACACCAUUGCAAGAUUAGGUUCUUAAGGGCAUAAUUUGUUAUGACUAACUGGUGAGCCAGAGUUUGUCUCGUCUUUGUACAGGUCCGGUUGGAAUUAAACCACUUCUCUAUGCUCUCCCUUUCAUACGUCUGUCCAGAUGCAAUAAUAACCGGAUCUGUCAUUAUUUCUAGUGUGAUUGGACAUAAGAAUUCAAGGGGAAUGACUAAAGAUGUGCACUUCUCCAACGAUUUAGGCAUGACAGGAUUAUCUAGAACAUCAGCUGCUUCCAUUCCUAUGAUCUGUUUGAAUUUGUUCAGAAGAUCAAUGAUUUGCUGGAUAUUCUCUGCAUAGAGGCCACCUCUUUCCUUAACAAAGUUCCUGAUGGCUAUGAUUUCAUUAUUCAGGUCUUCCAGUAUGCAAAUCUAGCUUUUUUGCUGGCCUUUCUACUAUAGCACUAUCAGCAUUCUGGCCAUCCUUUUUCGAGAGUACCACCAUCAUAUCCAUUUCAAGUUCUAUAUCCUGAGUAUCUGUUCUCCCAUUUGCUCAUUUAAGCUGCAUCCGCAUGAGUUCUGCCUGUUCUUUCAUCUCAUCAGAAAUACCGAGUUCAUCAAAAGGCAAACCUUCCACAGCUUGGCAUAGUUUUUCAUUGAUUGUGCGAAAUUUCAUCAUAAAAGCCUUGCUCUCCACAACCAGGCUAAUCUUGCUUCCUUCAUUGCAAACUUUUAGCAGCUUUUUGGCCACAAGAAACGCUUUCUUCAAAUUAGUCAAACAAGAAACACACCUUUCGGAAAUCGGCUCAUUACAAUCCCGUAUCUCCUCUAGAAGUGGCCACAGAAGUUUCAUACCCCUAACGAGGCCACAGCAAUCUUUCUUAUACGUUCUUUGGCAAUCUCCAAGCUGAGCAACAGAUUCGAUGAGGUUCAAUAUAUCUUGAACAAUCUCCGUUUCAUCUCGUAGGCUUGAUCCUCCUCCCCCGUUCCCUUCCUCCUUCCCGUCCUGAUCCAUCUGAUGCCCAGAAAACUAGGGCUUCCGGGGUUUUUUGAUACCUCAAAAUCAGAUAGUGGAUUUGGAAUUUUUCUGUUUUUAGAGAAAAUAAAGUUAAUUGCAAUUUGAAAAUUAACGAGAGUAAGGCCAGAUAAACGUGCAGAGAUCAACGAAAACCUAACCCUAAUGUUCAUGAUCUGUGACAUUGUGUGUUUGUUCGAUGGCGUUGAAGUUCUUAGCGGGCUUUCCGGCUUGUGGUUCUUAAAUGGGA